AUGACUGGGGGGCACAAGAUUUUAAAGGAAGAAUGUGCAUUGCCCAAUUUGAUACUAAUCCGCUGUGUGUGCCAGUCUUUACAAUUGGCUGACAGUGCAGCAUCCAAAGAAACCAUCCCUAGGAGUGUUGAGUACUUAAUCAGGGAAACCUACAACUGGUUUUCGAUUUCCCCAAAACGGCGCAAGGCGUACAAAGCAGUGUAUGCCACCAUUAAUUGUGGCCAGAAACCCCUGCAGAUCACCAAAGUGUGUGCCACACGUUGGCUAUCGAUUGAGCCUGCGUUAACUCGUAUAUCGAGCCAGUGGGAAGAACUGAAACUCCACUUUAAGGUGACCAAGGCCAGUGAGCUUUGCUACAUGGCGGAUGUGCUCCACGCCAUGUACAAGACCAACUAUGUCUACCUGACAUUCUUGAAAUCAAUCCUGUCCGACGUACAAGUUGCAGUGAAGUCAUUUGAGGGAGAGCAAAUAGAUCCUGUCAUGCUUUUGGACAAUCUGGUACACCUCUUAACAUCAAUUUGCAGCAGAGUAGUCAACCCUAUGGCAAAAAUUGAUGUCCUGAAGGAUGCCAUUGAUGGACAUCUCAGUCCAUCACCAUACCUUGGGAACCUUUUUGAGAGCACGGUGUACCAACUCAGUCUUGCGCCAGAGGACAAAAAGGUCAUUCGGAGACGGUGCAGCAACUACAUUGUUGCUUUAAGCAAGGAGCUGCAAGCAAGGCUCCCAGACAACCUUGAAGCCUUGCGAAACAUGGCCUUGUUCAGUGUUAAAGAAAUGUUAAAGCACAAUAAAGGCACCAUUGAAAUUAUUAAAGUAGCUGAACUACUGGAAUACCAGCCCCAAACAAUUGAUAAAAUUGUUUCCCAAUGGAGAAACAUCCAUCUGUUUUGGUGGGACUCAACUGAAAAUACAGUUGAGUUUUGGAGUGAAGUUAAUAACUACACGGACUCUUCCGGGUCAAAUCCAUUUGAAGAACUGUGCAAAGCUGCACUCGCUGCCCUCUCCUUGCCACACUCAAAUGCGGAGGUUGAACGGCUGUUCAGCCAAAUGAGUGUGGUCAAGUCAAAGUUAAGAAAUAGAAUGUCACUGCACACAACUCCAUACUCCUGGUGCGGUACGGACUGA
rnacentral:lncRNA from 8 species